UGCCAGCAGCCGCGGUAAUACGGAGGGUGCAAGCGUUGCUCGGAAUCACUGGGCGUAAAGGGUACGCAGGCGGCUCAUUAAGUCGGGUGUGAAAGCCCGGGGCUCAACCCCGGAACUGCGCCCGAUACUGGUGGGCUUGAGUACGGGAGAGGGAUAGCGGAAUUCCUGGUGUAGAGGUGAAAUUCGUAGAUAUCAGGAGGAACACCAGUGGCGAAAGCGGCUUCCUGGCCCGAUACUGACGCUCAUGUACGAAAGCGUGGGGAGCAAACAGGAUUAGAUU
rnacentral:rRNA from 1 species